CUACGUUUUGAGGGUAAAAUCAUACCUGUAGAGCAAACGCUGCGGACACAGCAGCAGUUUUAAAAAAGAUUUUAAGAUUAUUUUUUUUGCUCCUCUCACUCUAGCAGUUGAGCUGUCUCACUCUAGCCCCAACAUUCCGUCCCAUACACACCCAUUAUAAACUCUGAAACGGGUGAAAAAACAUCAUGAAACUUAAACUGGAACUGAAGAAAAAGUAUAAUAGAUAUUGAAAAGAUAAAUACAAGUUGAAUAGUUGAAUGUCUUGUCUUCGUUUUAAAGUUUGAAUGGUGGCUCUAUGUGAACGUAUGUUGAAGUAGUAAGAGUUUAAAAAUGAGUAAGUUGAAUGAGAAUUUGAAGGGUCUCCCCAUUGAAAUACAUGGGAAAUUUUUGUUGAAUAAAGUUGAAUAAAAUUAAAAAUAUAAAUGUUAAAAAUGAGAAAAAUACAAGCAACAGUGUCCAAAAGAAUAGGAAUCUAAUGGUGUUUGAAUGGUUUUUCUAAGUUGAACGGUUUUGAAGGAGUAGGCUUUCAAAAAACGUACGGAAUAGAUAAAAUAUAAUAACUAGAAAGUGCAUUUUCUGAAGAAACUGCAGUGUGAAUGCUUGAAUCUGAAUGUAUGCACUGAAAUGAAUUAAUUGCUGAAUUUUGAGUUAAAAAUAUUGAAUGAGAUUAAAAAAAAACAAAAAAAAAAAACGAAUUUAACCUGAAAACAAAGGUGCUGAACUGCUAAAAGCUGAACGUUACACAGAAGAAGGAGUUGGAAAAAAACUGAAAAUGUUUUAAAUGUAAAUUAGAAAACCCUAAGAAAUGAGAAAAGAACAUUUAGAGUCAGAAAACAUCUGAAUGAAUAUUAAAAGGUCAUAUUCUUUGAAUCACUGAAUGACUCAAAUGUGAUCCCUCCACUUUGAUACACACAGUUUAAAAAGUUUAAAUGCCUGAGCUUUGAAAGAUACGGUGUUGGAAAGAGAACAAUAAUGGCGACAAUUUGAGGGUAAAAUGAUGGCUGUAACACUGUGGACACAGCAGCAGUUGAAAGAGAAGUGCUUAAGAUGAAUCUUGGUACAGUGGCAGGCAGAGCUCGUUAAGCAGGCAGGUGUGAGCCUGGUUGCUAUAGUGACCGCACCCAAUGGCUCCAUACACACGUACACAGACAUGCGCCUCACUUUUGCUGCUUAAAAUGAACAGAAAAGUCAGGCCGAAACAAAUCGUUCCCAAAUGAAAAGUAAAAGUCGUAUUGACAAAAUUCUUUCACCGUGAGCGACAGCAAUGUCUAGUCUACUGAAUUCUCAGUUUUCAUGCCUGUGGAGUUUAUUAUAUGGACGUGGUGACAGUGGAAAGACACCAUGCUCUUCUGAUUUUCAAACGAAC
ensembl:lncRNA